rnacentral:rRNA from 1 species
UACGUAGGGGGCAAGCGUUGUCCGGAUUCACUGGGUGUAAAGGGCGCGCAGGCGGGUUAGCAAGUCAGAGGUGAAAUCCUACAGCUUAACUGUAGAACUGCCUUUGAAACUGUUAAUCUUGAGUGCGGAAGAGAGAGACGGAAUUCCAGGUGUAGCGGUGAAAUGCGUAGAUAUCUGGAAGAACACCAGUUGCGAAGGCGGUCUCUUGGUCCGUUACUGACGCUCAGGCGCGAAAGCGUGGGGAGAAAACAGG